GACGAACGCUGGCGGCGUGCCUAACACAUGCAAGUCGAGCGAAUGAAGUUCCUUCGGGACUGGAUUUAGCGGCGGACGGGUGAGUAACACGUGGGCAACCUGCCUCAUAGAGGGGAAUAGCCUUCCGAAAGGGAGAUUAAUACCGCAUAAGAUUGUAGUAUCGCAUGAUACAGCAAUUAAAGGAGCAAUCCGCUAUGAGAUGGGCCCGCGGCGCAUUAGCUAGUUGGUGAGGUAACGGCUCACCAAGGCGACGAUGCGUAGCCGACCUGAGAGGGUGAUCGGCCACAUUGGGACUGAGACACGGCCCAGACUCCUACGAGAGGCAGCAGUGGGGAAUAUUGCACAAUGGGGGAAACCCUGAUGCAGCAACGCCGCGUGAGUGAUGACGGCCUUCGGGUUGUAAAGCUCUGUCUUCAGGGACGAUAAUGACGGUACCUGAGGAGGAAGCCACGGCUAACUACGUG
rnacentral:rRNA from 1 species